CACACACACACACAUAUACACGGAAUGUGGUUUUAGAGCUGUAAACUCACUGAAUCCUUACCUCACAAAGUAGGGACUGUCAUGAAGAGUCAGACACAACUGAGCACAGGACCCCAUAGAUUACUGGAAAAAUUUUAUAAGGAACUUGAGCCUCAAGUUUUGAUUGAUUCAAGGUGGUAUCAUCAAAAUCCCCAAAAAGGAAAUAAAGAACAGUUUGCUGAAUUGUAGGUCUAGAGUUUAAGAAAAGUCCAGUGAAACUCAGUAUCUGUUAAAGCUGGAGAAAGUUUUGGCCUCAUUCAGUGCAGGUGGUAUUUGUAAUUACAAUCUUAACCUGAUCACCUUAACCUGAUUCAAGUGAUGAUACAUUAUUACAGCUUUCCUGAGUUAAAGUAUUGAAAAGGUAUAACCCAGAAUGGGACUUGAACCAACUGUCUUUUAACUGAGAUCGCAGACCUGGUCUCAGGGCUUAAUAAAGCUCAGGUUCUUGAUGUCUCAUCGAAGAAAGAAUUCAGUGAGAGACAAAGAGAUCAAUAAAAAGUGGAUUAAUUUAGAAACACUCCAGACAAAGUGUGGGUCAUCUUAGAAGGCAGGAGCAACUAAAGUAUGCUGAAUAAUGCUGACAUCCGGCUUGGAGUAGAACAGUUUCCUGAACACCUGCUGGGAGAAAGUUGUACUUAAAAGCAAACAAGCUGGAAAGCAGAGAAAAUUUUUCCUCUUGGUGGAAUCUACAUGUGAAAGUAUAAAAUAAAACUGUGUGACUUGAGGCAAAUGAAAAAGAGCCUAGUAAAUGAACUAUUAAUCAUG